GAGCUCAUUGGACAUCCAUCCCUGAAGAAGAACAGCAGAUAUUUGGGAUUAUGGAAACCUUUCCUUAUUGUCAGUUUGACCACCCUCCCUUUGAUAAUGACAUAAAGCUCCUCAAGGUAUUGUUUUAAUUACUGGAUUAUUUUCAUGAAAGGAAUUUUGCUGAUGAUCAUUUUGGCUACUCUUUGGUACUGAAGAGUACAUUGUUUAGAUAACAGUAUCACAGAACAGUCUAUUUUUGGUUGUAUUAAUCUAGAUGAAGUUAGGCUCUGUGAGCAGAGGUGAUAUUUCAAGCCCAUUUUGUGCUCUAAAAAACCCUCUUUUUAAUCAAUUCUCUGCCACAACCCCUCCAAACCACAGAGCACAUUCUCCAGUAAUUUUUCAAAGGCAAUGCUGAAGGGACAUAUGCGAUGCAGUCUGGCUCACAUCUCUAUUCCAGCAUUAGGUCUUGUGCUAGACUAAGUAAGUAAAAAUGGAGAUGAAACUUACUGUUAAUUUUCUGGUGUAUGCAGGUAAAGUGAAAGUGUGGAUAAUACAGGACAUACAGACUCAGCUCUAGGAGCACAGACUGGUCACAAAGGGCAGUAAGCUCAGGACACUGCAGAAUGAAGCAUGGAAAAUGUCCUUGCCAACAUUAUCUUUUGAUGCCAAAGUGAGGCAGAGCUGUAAGAAUUUGAAAUUACAGGGAAGUUGGGACUAGAUGUGCUUUAAGGUCCCUUCCAACUGUAACAUUCUAUUAUUCUAUUAUUCUAUUAUUCUGUGACCAGAAUCUGGUAUUUAGUGUUUAGCUGGCAUCACAUUUGACAUAGCAAUGACAUGGGGAAAAAGGUAACCGUGUCCCUCUGUGUGCUAUCAGGAACACCCACAGGGAUCUGUGGCUGAUCAAGCACCUGAUCAUGGUUCAUCUCUGAGGAGCUUCUUCCCCCAGCUGUUGCUGAAUGAUACUGCCAAGCUGAAUAAAUAUGUGCAACUUUUCCUCUGCCUGACUUUUUUGAAGAUGUUGAACCUAGCACACUGUGGCUGGGUGGGGAGACAAAUCACCAGGAAAGCCAUUGAAAUAUCUCUGGAAGAAAGUCUUAAAAUUGCCAAUAGAAAAAUCUCUGACAAACAUUAUGCUGGUGACCCAAAAAUAACCAACAACAUGUAGUGUGCCCUACAGGGAAAAGUAAAUGAUAUCUGAGUGAUACUUGUGGGGUAAGAAGCCAAGUUACUAAGGGGGGACAUAUAUUUAACAAUGGUUCCCUUUUCACUGGGGAGAAAGCAGUGUCAGACAUCUUAGGAGGAUGAUCAUGUUUUAAGUGAUUUUAGCGACAUUUAUGAAAGACUUUAUUGCUGUGAAAAGGACUUGUUAAAGCUUUGUUUAGUUUAGGUCAGUGUACCAAUCAAGAUCAAGAGUAUGGCAAUUUGAGCUGGGAUUAUCUAUUAAUUUCAGGUAUAUUUCACUAGCUACAGUGCACUCCUUAGGCACCACCUGUAGUUAUGGGAGAAAAAGCAGAGCUAUCAGGGUCUCAAUUAUCUGAUCCUUCCCAAAAGUCCACCUCUGAGUAGUACAGCAUUAACUGCAUACUCAAAAGAGCUGUUUAGAUCUUGCUUUUGGUGCUCUCUGUGCUGAAUCCAGAAGAGACAACUGAUAAAGGGGUGAAAUUACAGGGAGGCUGGG
rnacentral:lncRNA from 1 species